rnacentral:lncRNA from 1 species
AGUGACAGAAGCUGAUUGACACAGGUCAAGGGGACUUCAAGGAAGAAAGCCAGCCUUAGACUGACAUCAGAGAACCAAACUCUGGUGUCUAAGCUCAAGUCUUGCGUGGAUGAAACAGUCCCAACGAACACUUUAAAAAGACAAAUGUUCCCGACAGCACUGGUUGAGUUCAAAACUCGGCAGAUCCAUGUUCUUAUCCUUAGACAAGAGAGGGGCCAUAACAAGAUGGAAUGACUGAACAGACGUGAGAGAUGAUGUCCACCCAGAGGGUCUGCACUUCUCGGAGCCAGAAGGUGGAGAGUAGGAAUGGAGGAAGUUCGGAGUUUUAGGAGUCCCCUCUUGGGGCUCCCUAGGUAUGAGGACAAGCUUUUCCGGUACUCAAUGCUCAUCUCUCAGUUGUGCCCACAUUGGUACACAUUACUUGCUUUCAACUGCUGCUGCUGCUGUUUCCAAAUUCAAUAAAGAUAUGGUUGGCUCAGCAGAGAGCUGUCAUCCA